rnacentral:rRNA from 1 species
CACGGAGUUAGCCGGGGCUUCUUCUGCUGGUACCGUCAUUAUCUUCCCAGCUGAAAGAGCUUUACAACCCUAAGGCCUUCAUCACUCACGCGGCAUGGCUAGAUCAGGGUUGCCCCCAUUGUCUAAGAUUCCCCACUGCUGCCUCCCGUAGGAGUCUGGGCCGUGUCUCAGUCCCAGUGUGGCUGAUCAUCCCCUCAAACCAGCUAUGGAUCGUCGGCUUGGUAGGCCAUUACCCCACCAACUACCUAAUCCAACGCGGGCCGAUCCUUUUCCGAUAAAUCUUUCCCCCAAAGGGCGUAUACGGUAUUACUCUCAGUUUCCCGAGGCUAUUCCGUAGAAAAGGGCACGUUCCCACGCGUUACUCACCCGUCCGCCGCUCACCCGAAGGGCGCGCUCGACUUGCAUGUGUUAGCCUGCCGCAGCGUUGUUCUGAGCCAGGAUCAACU